CUUUCCCUAUGUGAGUCAUUGUGCUCAAUCACAGAUUUUAGCCCUCUCUUAAAAAGGAUAAGCAGGAUAAAACUCCAGCAAAACCCAGUGGUAUCAGUGCUGUGCAAUGAAGUGUCUGUGAUGGGUGAAAGGAAGAGGCUCAGUUAUGAGUCAGAACUGCCCAGCACAGACUGCCCUCCUGCAGAGUGCCAUGGUGCCACCUACAGCUUCUUCUGCUCGGCUGCUGGGAAACUCCAUCAGAAGAGAGAAAGUCCAUAUCUCCUUCAAAUGGUGCACAAGAGCUGCUUGCUACGAUAGCUUUUCAGGAGAUGCCCCAGGAAGGUUCUCCAAUGGGGUUUUCCAACUGCUCAUCCUGAUGCUCAGUUGGGGAAGAGGUCCUAUUCAAAAAGGACUUUGCAUCGUUUCCCACAAUUAUCUAGGUAAUCUCAGGAAUUCAACAGAACUCUUCUCACUGCAUAAAACAUACAUCUCCUCUAGUCCAGCCUUGAUGGUGGCUGCAUGA
rnacentral:lncRNA from 1 species